AUGCGACAACACGUUCUCAACCUGAUGGUCCACUUUAAUGUGGCAAAGAUGAACUAGGCCGUCAUAAACGAGCAGAAUCAGGUAAAUAUGUUCGUUGAGAGAAGUUAAUCCAUUGAAUGUGGUUACAUAAAGAAAGUGUUAUCAUCCGCAUAUGGUGUGAUCCAGACUAUGAUAUGAAACAUCACAAUCAAAUGGUAGAGAUGUAUCCAUGGAGGAGAAUAUCUUUGGAAGAGAUUGAUGAUCCAAACAAGCGUGCUGCUGACUGGAAAGAAAAAAACAAGAAGCUACAUUACGAAUAUCAACAUUCAGUUCCUAGCUGAAGGAUGAGAAUGUCCUCUUAAUUAUCCAGCAUAAGAACGAUGGAUAACAAAAGCUAAGUUCUUGACCAAAAA